rnacentral:rRNA from 1 species
GGGCGUUAAGUUGCAGGGUAUAGACCCGAAACCCGGUGAUCUAGCCAUGGGCAGGUUGAAGGUUGGGUAACACUAACUGGAGGACCGAACCGACUAAUGUUGAAAAAUUAGCGGAUGACUUGUGGCUGGGGGUGAAAGGCCAAUCAAACCGGGAGAUAGCUGGUUCUCCCCGAAAGCUAUUUAGGUAGCGCCUCGUGAAUUCAUCUCCGGGGGUAGAGCACUGUUUCGGCAAGGGGGUCAUCCCGACUUACCAACCCGAUGCAAACUGCGAAUACCGGAGAAUGUUAUCACGGGAGACACACGGCGGGUGCUAACGUCCGUCGUGAAGAGGGAAACAACCCAGACCGCCAGCUAAGGUCCCAAAGUCAUGGUUAAGUGGGAAACGAUGUGGGAAGGCCCAGACAGCCAGGAUGUUGGCUUAGAAGCAGCCAUCAUUUAAAGAAAGCGUAAUAGCUCACUGGUCGAGUCGGCCUGCGCGGAAGAUGUAACGGGGCUAAACCAUGCACCGAAGCUGCGGCAGCGACACUGUGUGUUGUUGGGUAGGGGAGCGUUCUGUAAGCCUGUGAAGGUGURCUGUGAGGYAUGCUGGAGGUAUCAGAAGUGCGAAUGCUGACAUAAGUAACGAUAAAGCGGGUGAAAAGCCCGCUCGCCGGAAGACCAAGGGUUCCUGUCCAACGUUAAUCGGGGCAGGGUGAGUCGACCCCUAAGGCGAGGCCGAAAGGCGUAGUCGAUGGGAAACAGGUUAAUAUUCCUGUACUUGGUGUUACUGCGAAGGGGGGACGGAGAAGGCUAUGUUGGCCGGGCGACGGUUGUCCCGGUUUAAGCGUGUAGGCUGGUUUUCCAGGCAAAUCCGGAAAAUCAAGGCUGAGGCGUGAUGACGAGGCACUACGGUGCUGAAGCAACAAAUGCCCUGCUUCCAGGAAAAGCCUCUAAGCAUCAGGUAACAUCAAAUCGUACCCCAAACCGACACAGGUGGUCAGGUAGAGAAUACCAAGGCGCUUGAGAGAACUCGGGUGAAGGAACUAGGCAAAAUGGUGCCGUAACUUCGGGAGAAGGCACGCUGAUAUGUAGGUGAAGUCCCUCGCGGAUGGAGCUGAAAUCAGUCGAAGAUACCAGCUGGCUGCAACUGUUUAUUAAAAACACAGCACUGUGCAAACACGAAAGUGGACGUAUACGGUGUGACGCCUGCCCGGUGCCGGAAGGUUAAUUGAUGGGGUCAGCGCAAGCGAAGCUCUUGAUCGAAGCCCCGGUAAACGGCGGCCGUAACUAUAACGGUCCUAAGGUAGCGAAAUUCCUUGUCGGGUAAGUUCCGACCUGCACGAAUGGCGUAAUGAUGGCCAGGCUGUCUCCACCCGAGACUCAGUGAAAUUGAACUCGCUGUGAAGAUGCAGUGUACCCGCGGCAAGACGGAAAGACCCCGUGAACCUUUACUAUAGCUUGACACUGAACAUUGAGCCUUGAUGUGUAGGAUAGGUGGGAGGCUUUGAAGUGUGGACGCCAGUCUGCAUGGAGCCGACCUUGAAAUACCACCCUUUAAUGUUUGAUGUUCUAACGUGGACCCGUGAUCCGGGUUGCGGACAGUGUCUGGUGGGUAGUUUGACUGGGGCGGUCUCCUCCUAAAGAGUAACGGAGGAGCACGAAGGUUGGCUAAUCCUGGUCGGACAUCAGGAGGUUAGUGCAAUGGCAUAAGCCAGCUUGACUGCGAGCGUGACGGCGCGAGCAGGUGCGAAAGCAGGUCAUAGUGAUCCGGUGGUUCUGAAUGGAAGGGCCAUCGCUCAACGGAUAAAAGGUACUCCGGGGAUAACAGGCUGAUACCGCCCAAGAGUUCAUAUCGACGGCGGUGUUUGGCACCUCGAUGUCGGCUCAUCACAUCCUGGGGCUGAAGUAGGUCCCAAGGGUAUGGCUGUUCGCCAUUUAAAGUGGUACGCGAGCUGGGUUUAGAACGUCGUGAGACAGUUCGGUCCCUAUCUGCCGUGGGCGCUGGAGAACUGAGGGGGGCUGCUCCUAGUACGAGAGGACCGGAGUGGACGCAUCACUGGUGUUCGGGUUGUCAUGCCAAUGGCACUGCCCGGUAGCUAAAUGCGGAAGAGAUAAGUGCUGAAAGCAUCUAAGCACGAAACUUGCCCCGAGAUGAGUUCUCCCUGACCCUUUAAGGGUCCUGAAGGAACGUUGAAGACGACGACGUUGAUAGGCCGGGUGUGUAAGCGCAGCGAUGCGUUGAGCUAACCGGUACUAAUGAACCGUGAGGCUUAACCUUACAACGCCGAAGGUGUUU